rnacentral:rRNA from 1 species
GACGAACGCUGGCGGCGUGCUUAACACAUGCAAGUCGAACGAUGAAGAAAAGAAUUGAAGCUUCGGCAGAAAUUCAUUUCGGAUUAGUGGCAGACGGGUGAGUAACGCGUGAGCAACCUACCUCUUACAAAGGGAUAGCCUCGGGAAACCGGGAUUAAUACCAUAUAACAUUGCGACGAAGCAUUUCGAUGCAAUCAAAGCUACGGCGGUAAGAGAUGGGCUCGCGUCCCAUUAACCAGAUGGUGAGGUAACGGCUCACCAUAGUAACGAUGGGUAACCGGGAUGAGAGGGUGAACGGUCACACUGGAACUGAGACACGGUCCAGACUCCUACGGGAGGCAGCAGUGGGGAAUAUUGCACAAUGGAGGGAACUCUGAUGCAGCGACGCCGCGUGAGUGAUGAAGGAAGUCGUUUCGUAAUACUCUGUUCUAUGGGAAGAAAAGGACUGUACCAUAGGAGAAAGCUCCGGCUAAAUACGUG